AGAGUUUGAUCAUGGCUCAGAACGAACGCUGGCGGCAUGCCUAACACAUGCAAGUCGAACGAGACCUUCGGGUCUAGUGGCGCACGGGUGCGUAACGCGUGGGAAUCUGCCCCUUGGUUCGGAAUAACAGUUAGAAAUGACUGCUAAUACCGGAUGAUGACGAAAGUCCAAAGAUUUAUCGCCGAGGGAUGAGCCCGCGUAGGAUUAGCUAGUUGGUGAGGUAAAGGCUCACCAAGGCGACGAUCCUUAGCUGGUCUGAGAGGAUGAUCAGCCACACUGGGACUGAGACACGGCCCAGACUCCUACGGGAGGCAGCAGUGGGGAAUAUUGGACAAUGGGCGAAAGCCUGAUCCAGCAAUGCCGCGUGAGUGAUGAAGGCCUUAGGGUCGUAAAGCUCUUUACCAGGGAUGAUAAUGACAGUACCUGGAGAAUAAGCUCCGGCUAACUCCGUG
rnacentral:rRNA from 1 species